UCUCGUCGUGCUGCUGUGCCUGCUCUGCC
rnacentral:piRNA from 1 species